CAGAGAGCUAAAGGAGCAACACACAGCGGACGUUGGGAACGCGACGAACAGGUCGGAGGGCGAGGAUGCGAAAGAUCGUCUGGAAGAAGGAGCCAGGAAGAUUCGGGAGCUGAGGGCGGAGGUGAGGGAGAUGGAGGAGCAGCUGACGCAAGCCGAGGUAACCUUUCCUUUGGAGGUCAAGCGGAAGUACAAAUACACAGGGAUUG
rnacentral:lncRNA from 1 species